GCCCCCGUAGCGCAAUGGUAGCGCGUAAGACUGUAUGUGCACACAACCGAACCUUGGUCUUCCUGGCCCAAUAACUAACAAAGUCAAUAGUCUAGCUUCAAAGCUAUCUUAAGGUUGCGAGUUCGAGCCUCGCCGGGGGCU
rnacentral:tRNA from 1 species